CGGGGUGUAGCCUAGUGGCUAAGGCGCCUGCUUUGGGAGCAGGAGACCGCCGGUUCGAGUCCGGCCACCCCGA
rnacentral:tRNA from 3 species